rnacentral:tRNA from 1 species
AAAGGAUUAGUUAAUAAUAACAUUAGUAUGUCAAUCUAAAAUUACUAGAAUUUCUAGUAUUCUUUA